UACGUAGGGGGCAAGCGUUGUCCGGAAUUAUUGGGCGUAAAGAGCUCGUAGGCGGCCUGUCACGUCGGCUGUGAAAACCCGGGGCUCAACCCCGGGCCUGCAGUCGAUACGGGCAGGCUAGAGUUCGGCAGGGGAGACUGGAAUUCCUGGUGUAGCGGUGAAAUGCGCAGAUAUCAGGAGGAACACCCGUGGCGAAAGCGGCUCUCUGGGACGGUACUGACGCUGAGACGCGAAAGCGUGGGGAGCAAACAGG
rnacentral:rRNA from 1 species